rnacentral:rRNA from 1 species
CAUAGGUUAAUGAGGCGAACCGGGGGAACUGAAACAUCUAAGUACCCCGAGGAAAAGAAAUCAACCGAGAUUCCCCCAGUAGCGGCGAGCGAACGGGGAGGAGCCCAGAGCCUGAAUCAGUGUGUGUGUUAGUGGAAGCGUCUGGAAAGGCGCGCGAUACAGGGUGACAGCCCCGUACACAAAAAUGCACAUACUGUGAGCUCGAUGAGUAGGGCGGGACACGUGGUAUCCUGUCUGAAUAUGGGGGGACCAUCCUCCAAGGCUAAAUACUCCUGACUGACCGAUAGUGAACCAGUACCGUGAGGGAAAGGCGAAAAGAACCCCGGCGAGGGGAGUGAAAAAGAACCUGAAACCGUGUACGUACAAGCAGUGGGAGCCUCUUAAUGGGGUGACUGCGUACCUUUUGUAUAAUGGGUCAGCGACUUAUAUUCUGUAGCAAGGUUAACCGAAUAGGGGAGCCGAAGGGAAACCGAGUCUUAACUGGGCGUUAAGUUGCAGGGUAUAGACCCGAAACCCGGUGAUCUAGCCAUGGGCAGGUUGAAGGUUGGGUAACACUAACUGGAGGACCGAACCGACUAAUGUUGAAAAAUUAGCGGAUGACUUGUGGCUGGGGGUGAAAGGCCAAUCAAACCGGGAGAUAGCUGGUUCUCCCCGAAAGCUAUUUAGGUAGCGCCUCGUGAAUUCAUCUCCGGGGGUAGAGCACUGUUUCGGCAAGGGGGUCAUCCCGACUUACCAACCCGAUGCAAACUGCGAAUACCGGAGAAUGUUAUCACGGGAGACACACGGCGGGUGCUAACGUCCGUCGUGAAGAGGGAAACAACCCAGACCGCCAGCUAAGGUCCCAAAGUCAUGGUUAAGUGGGAAACGAUGUGGGAAGGCCCAGACAGCCAGGAUGUUGGCUUAGAAGCAGCCAUCAUUUAAAGAAAGCGUAAUAGCUCACUGGUCGAGUCGGCCUGCGCGGAAGAUGUAACGGGGCUAAACCAUGCACCGAAGCUGCGGCAGCGACGCUUAUGCGUUGUUGGGUAGGGGAGCGUUCUGUAAGCCUGUGAAGGUGGCCUGUGAGGGUUGCUGGAGGUAUCAGAAGUGCGAAUGCUGACAUAAGUAACGAUAAAGCGGGUGAAAAGCCCGCUCGCCGGAAGACCAAGGGUUCCUGUCCAACGUUAAUCGGGGCAGGGUGAGUCGACCCCUAAGGCGAGGCCGAAAGGCGUAGUCGAUGGGAAACAGGUUAAUAUUCCUGUACUUGGUGUUACUGCGAAGGGGGGACGGAGAAGGCUAUGUUGGCCGGGCGACGGUUGUCCCGGUUUAAGCGUGUAGGCUGGUUUUCCAGGCAAAUCCGGAAAAUCAA